GUUGAUCCUGCCGGACCUGACUGCCAUCGGAUUGGUACUAAGCCAUGCGAGUCGUUGUAGCAAUACAAGGCGAACUGCUCAGUAACACGUAGUUAACCUAACCUAUGGAUGGGGAUAACCUCGGGAAACUGAGAAUAAUACCCAAUAGAUCACAGUGCCUGGAAUGGCCUGUGAUUGAAAUGAUUUAUCGCUGUAAGAUGGGACUGCGGCCUAUCAGCUUGUUGGUGAGGUAAUGGCCCACCAAGGCUAUAACAGGUACGGGCCCUGAGAGGAGGGGCCCGGAGAUGGGUACUGAGACACGGACCCAGGCCCUAUGGGGCGCAGCAGGCGAGAAACCUUUGCAAUGUGCGAAAGCACGACAAGGUUAAUCCGAGUGUCUCCUGCUAAAGGAGUCUUUUGUCAGUUGUAGAAUCACUGGUGAAUAAGGGGUGGGCAAGUUCUGGUGUCAGCCGCCGCGGUAAAACCAGCACCUCGAGUGGUCAGGAGGUUUAUUGGGCCUAAAGCAUCCGUAGCCGGUUGCAUACAGUUUCGGUUAAAUCUAUUGCGCUUAACGUAUAGGCCGCCGAAAAUACUGUGCAGCUACGG
rnacentral:rRNA from 1 species